rnacentral:rRNA from 2 species
CCUUCGGGCCUCACGCCAUCAGAUGUGCCCAGAUGGGAUUAGCUAGUAGGUGGGGUAAUGGCUCACCUAGGCGACGAUCCCUAGCUGGUCUGAGAGGAUGACCAGCCACACUGGAACUGAGACACGGUCCAGACUCCUACGGGAGGCAGCAGUGGGGAAUAUUGCACAAUGGGCGCAAGCCUGAUGCAGCCAUGCCGCGUGUGUGAAGAAGGCCUUAGGGUUGUAAAGCACUUUCAGCGAGGAGGAAGGGUUCAGUGUUUUUUUCUUUUUUUCAUUGACGUUACUCGCAGAAGAAGCACCGGCUAACUCCGUGCCAGCAGCCGCGGUAAUACGGAGGGUGCAAGCGUUAAUCGGAAUUACUGGGCGUAAAGCGCACGCAGGCGGUUUGUUAAGUCAGAUGUGAAAUCCCCGCGCUUAACGUGGGAACUGCAUUUGAAACUGGCAAGCUAGAGUCUUGUAGAGGGGGGUAGAAUUCCAGGUGUAGCGGUGAAAUGCGUAGA